CCAAGCCUAGAUAUUCUUGUUUUUCUGACUGUGCUGGUUCGUCCAGCACAACUCUCUCCACCUGUGAACUUUUUUACUAAACGUUGAUGGCUAUGGGAAGUAUUUUUGAAGUUGAAUUACAAACUUUUGGCAAUGGAUCUCUUGGUUCUCCCAUCGAUGAAGAACGCAGCGAAUCGCGAAAGUUAAUGUGAAUUGCAGAACCGUGAAUCAUCGAGUCUUUGAACGCAUCUUGCGCUCGGGGGCUAUUCCCCCGAGCAUGCCUGUCUGAGUGUUGGGAAUCUCUAUCUAGCGUAGUAGCUAGGAUGUGGGUUUGUCUUUUUGUUUAAGACUCACCUGAAAUUAGCAGAGAGAGGCGGCGUGGGGCUUGUCCUUUGGUACGAUGAACUUCUUAUCGGAGCGACAGCCUUGGCAGCUUUUUGAAUUCCACUAUUCGACCUCAAAUCAGGUAGGACUACCCGCUGAACUUAAGCAUAUCAAUAAGCGGAGGAAGAGAAACAAACAUGGAUUCCCCUAGUAGCGGCGAGCGAAGCGGGAAGAGCCCAGAAUGAAAAGCUCCCGUCAGGGCGCAUUGUAAUCUGGAGACGUGCCUCGUGCGGGGCGGCUGGACUCAAGUCUGCUGGAAAGCAGCAUCGUAGAGGGUGAAAAUCCCGUGCUUGGUCUGGCUCUGCACCGUGUUGUGGGGCGCGCUCGACGAGUCGCGUUGUUUGGGAAUGCAGCGCAAAGUAGGGUGGUAAACGCCAUCCAAGGCUAAAUAUGGGGGAGAGACCGAUAGCGAACAAGUACCGUGAGGGAAAGAUGAAAAGAACUUUGGAAAGAGAGUUAAACAGUACGUGAAAUUGCCAAAAGGGAAGCGUUGGCAGUCAGUACCGCAAGGUGUGCCCUGUCUCCUUUCUUCCGGAAGGAUUACUGGGUGCACGUGGGGCUCAUGUCGGUUGCGGCGGGGAGAAGUCUGUGGGAAGUGGCUCUUGCUUCGCAGAGUUUAAGCACUGCGCGCGAC
rnacentral:rRNA from 1 species